rnacentral:rRNA from 1 species
UACGUAGGGUGCAAGCGUUAAUCGGAAUUACUGGGCGUAAAGGGUGCGCAGGCGGUUAGUUAAGUCAGCGGUGAAAUCCCCGGGCUCAACCUGGGAAUGGCCGUUGAGACUGGCAAGCUAGAGUGUAUCAGAGGGGGGUAGAAUUCCACGUGUAGCAGUGAAAUGCGUAGAGAUGUGGAGGAACACCGAUGGCGAAGGCAGCCCCCUGGGAAAGCACUGACGCUCAAGCACGAAAGCGUGGGGAGCAAACAGG